UUUGGGAAUUCCCAUCCGGGAUUUUUUGGGACUGUCCCUGUGUUGGCAGGCGCUGCUGGCGGGGCUGUGUCCGGCCGCUGUCCGGCCGCUGGCCGCGGCGCUGUGUCCGGCGCGGCCGCUGCGGGCGCAGCUGCUGCUGGACGAGGCCCUGGAGCGGCGCCGGGAGCAGCCCGAGGGCGGCGCGGGGUCCCUGCUGCUGCUGCUGGACAGGGUGAGCCAGCCUUCCUCCCCUCCCUCCUCCUCCUCCUCCUCUUCUCCCUGCUCCCACUUCCCUUGUCCUCCUCCUCUUCCUCCCCCUCUUCUUCCUCCUCUUCCUCUUCCCUUUCCUCCUCUUCCUCCUCUUCCUCCUCUUCCUCCUGCUCCCAUUUCUCUUUUCCUUGUUCUUCCUUCUUCUUCCUCCUCCUCUUCCUUCCCCUUUUCCUCCAUCCUCCUCUUCUCCCUACUCCCACUUCCUUUUCCCUUCUUCCUCUUCCUUCUUCCUCCUCCUCUUCCUCUUUUUCCCCUUUCUUUUCCUCCCUUUCCUCAUCCUCUUCCUGCUCCUCUUCUUCCUUUUCUUUUCCUUUUCCUCCUCAUCCUUUUGCUCUCACCUUCCUCUUCCUCCUCUACUCCCACUUCCCUUAUUCCUCCUUCCUUUUCCUUCUUCCUCCUCCUCUUCCUCUUCCCUUUCCUCCUCUUUCUUUUCCUUCUUCCUCCUUCUCUUCCUCCUCCUCCUCCUCCCCCAACUCCCAAUUCCCUUUCCCUUAUUUCUCCUUCCUCUUCCUCGUCCUUUUCCUUCUUCCUCCUCCUCUUCCUUUUCCUUUUCCUUUUCCUUUUCCUUCCCAUUCUCAUCCAUUUCCUCUCCCCUUCCUCCUCCUCCUCCUCCUCCUCCUCUGGCCCCGUUCUGUCUCCAGCACCUGCAGCGGCUGCCCUGGGAGAGCUCCGGGACGCUCCGGAACCUUCCGGUGACGCGGCUGCCGGGGCUGCGCUUCCUGCUCAGAUACGGCCUGGGAGAGCAGGUAACACACCUGGGCACACCUGGGACACACCUGGGACAGGUACACACACCUGGGGUUGGGCACACGGCCCUGCCAGGGCUGCGCUUCCUGCUCAGAUACGGCCUGGGAGAGCAGGUAACACACCUGGGCACACCUGGGACACACCUGGGGCACACCUGGGACACACCUGGGCACACCUGUGUCACACCUGUGCCACACCUGUGCCACACGUGUGUCCCCGCAGGGCGCGGGGGCGGUGCUGGCCCGGGGCGUGGACCCCCGCCGCGCGUUCUACGUGCUGAACCCCCAGCGCGACCUGGGCGGCACCGAGGAG
rnacentral:lncRNA from 1 species